rnacentral:misc_RNA from 1 species
UUUCCGUAGGUGAACCUGCGGAAGGAUCACUAUCGAAUUUCGAGGGGAAGGAAGAUGAGGAGUGGAGACUGUCGCUGGCUUCCCCGCCUGGGAAGCAUGUGCACGCCUUGCUUUUCGUUGACCUUUCUCUUACUCUCACACCUGUGCACCCAUUGUAGGUCCUCGAAAGAGGAUCUAUGUUUUUAUCAUCACACGCAUCGUAUGUCCAUAGAAUGUAACAUGAUCGUCGAUCGACCUCGCGGUCGGGUGGCGGUCCAAAUAAAUAAAUACAACUUUCAGCAACGGAUCUCUUGGCUCUC